AGUGAACGCUGGUGGUAGGCCUAACACAUGCAAGUCGAACGGCAGCACAGUAAGAGCUUGCUCUUACGGGUGGCGAGUGGCGGACGGGUGAGGAAUACAUCGGAAUCUACUUUUUCGUGGGGGAUAACGUAGGGAAACUUACGCUAAUACCGCAUACGACCUACGGGUGAAAGCAGGGGAUCUUCGGACCUUGCGCGAUUGAAUGAGCCGAUGUCGGAUUAGCUAGUUGGCGGGGUAAAGGCCCACCAAGGCGACGAUCCGUAGCUGGUCUGAGAGGAUGAUCAGCCACACUGGAACUGAGACACGGUCCAGACUCCUACGGGAGGCAGCAGUGGGGAAUAUUGGACAAUGGGCGCAAGCCUGAUCCAGCCAUACCGCGUGGGUGAAGAAGGCCUUCGGGUUGUAAAGCCCUUUUGUUGGGAAAGAAAAGCAGCAGGUUAAUACCCCGCUGUUCUGACAGUACCCAAAGAAUAAGCACCGGCUAACUUCGUG
rnacentral:rRNA from 1 species